UCGAGAAUCUUCCGCAAUGGGCGAAAGCCUGACGGAGCGACACCGCGUGCAGGACGAAGGCCCUCGGGUUGUAAACUGCUGUCACGCUCUAGGAAUGCCAUGUCGUUAAUAGCGGCAUGGUUGACCAAGGCGAAAGGAAGUGGCGGCUAACUCUGUGCCAGCAGCCGCGGUAAGACAGAGGCCACGAACGUUGUUCGGAAUCACUGGGCAUAAAGCGCACGUAGGCGGCUAGGUCCGUCCAAUGUGAAAGCCCCCGGCUCAACCGGGGAAUUGCAUCGGAUACAGCCUGGCUUGAGGACGGUUGGGGUGAGUGGAACUCCUGGUGGAGCGGUGAAAUGCGUAGAUAUCAGGAGGAACACCGGUGGCGAAAGCGGCUCACUGGACCGUAACUGACGCUGAGGUGCGAAAGCUAGGGGAGCAAACAGGAUUAGAUACCCACGUAGUCCCUGAGCGGGCUGGCAAGGCGCAU
rnacentral:rRNA from 1 species